UAGCAUAUCAAUAAGCGGAGGAAAAGAAACCAACAGGGAUUGCCCUAGUAACGGCGAGUGAAGCGGCAACAGCUCAAAUUUGAAAUCUGGCUUCGGCCCGAGUUGUAAUUUGCAGAGGAAGCUUUAGGCGCGGCACCUUCUGAGUCCCCUGGAACGGGGCGCCAUAGAGGGUGAGAGCCCCGUAUAGUUGGAUGCCUAGCCUGUGUAAAGCUCCUUCGACGAGUCGAGUAGUUUGGGAAUGCUGCUCAAAAUGGGAGGUAAAUUUCUUCUAAAGCUAAAUACCGGCCAGAGACCGAUAGCGCACAAGUAGAGUGAUCGAAAGAUGAAAAGCACUUUGAAAAGAGGGUUAAAUAGCACGUGAAAUUGUUGAAAGGGAAGCGCUUGUGACCAGACUUGCGCCGGGCGGAUCAUCCGGUGUUCUCACCGGUGCACUCCGCCCGGCUCAGGCCAGCAUCGGUUCUCGCGGGGGGAUAAAGGUCCUGGGAACGUAGCUCCUCCGGGAGUGUUAUAGCCCGGGGCGUAAUGCCCUCGCGGGGACCGAGGUUCGCGCAUCUGCAAGGAUGCUGGCGUAAUGGUCAUCAGCGACCCGUCUUGAAACACGGACCAAGGAGUCAAGGUUUUGCGCGAGUGUUUGGGUGUAAAACCCGCACGCGUAAUGAAAGUGAACGUAGGUGAGAGCUUCGGCGCAUCAUCGACCGAUCCUGAUGUUUUCGGAUGGAUUUGAGUAGGAGCGUUAAGCCUUGGACCCGAAAGAUGGUGAACUAUGCUUGGAUAGGGUGAAGCCAGAGGAAACUCUGGUGGAGGCUCGCAGCGGUUCUGACGUGCAAAUCGAUCGUCAAAUCUGAGCAUGGGGGCGAAAGACUAAUCGAACCAUCUAGUAGCUGGUUACCGCC
rnacentral:rRNA from 1 species